rnacentral:rRNA from 1 species
CAGUCGCCGCGGGAAUAUGAAGGGUGCAAGCGUUACUCGGAAUUACUGGGCGUAAAGCGUGCGUAGGUGGUGGUUUAAGUCCGUUGUGAAAGCCCUGGGCUCAACCUGGGAAUUGCAGUGGAUACUGGGUCACUAGAGUGUGGUAGAGGAUAGUGGAAUUUCCGGUGUAGCAGUGAAAUGCGUAGAGAUCGGAAGGAACAUCUGUGGCGAAGGCGACUAUCUGGGCCAACACUGACACUGAGGCACGAAAGCGUGGGGAGCAAACAGGAUUAGAUACCCCGGUAGUCCCUGUCUCUUAUAC